ensembl:lncRNA
CCCUAGUGAAAACCAGGACUUCCAAUACAAUUAUAUGAAACAAACAUACAUUUUCUAAAAAUAGUAAUGAUUUAUGUGACCGUUUAAUGUUUAUAACAUCUGGUCCAACCAUUGCAGCGAGAACGUAUUCUCAGCAGGGGGUGCUGGGAAAAAAAAAAACUCAGCCUGCACUAGACUCGCAACUCGUUACAUUGAUAAAAAAAGAUGUAUAGCAGCGCAGCUCAAUUACACCAGUGCAUGCGCGGACAGUUGAAAAUCGAUCGUUCACAUCCAGCUGCUCACAGAACAAGUUUAGCGCACCACCGCUACCCUCACACUUUUUCAUAUAACCUUUUUUCAGCACUAGGUCAUAUGAGCAUUAAAUAAAUGCUGCGUAUCAAAAUGCCUUGGACAGCUGCGAGGAUGACUCGCUUUGCCACGGGCCGAAACAGUUCGGAGCGACCACAGCCAGAGCGAACACAGCGGGGCAGAGGAGUGUCAGGAAUAGUCUUUGGUGUACACAUCGGUAGGCCUACGGCCUAUUUGCACUACUGUUUAGUGGCAAUGCAGUGUUUUAUUCGAUGCCUUUUUAUUUUCGUAUAUUAUUUCAAUGAAUACAAUUUAUUUAUUCAUAAAAAACGGAUCUGGUCUUCAAAUCUUUUUUCCAAAUAUAGGUCGUCUUACAAUGGGGUUUGUGUUUACAUUCGGAUCAAUACGGUACAGCGGGCGCUCACAUGACGUUAAGCAUUUCCUGGUGCAUAAUGUGACGCUUCAGAACCUAAAAUCCCGUUUCUCCCCAUUGACACGACAACACAUAACCGGCGUUUUCAGAAAUCUCCACUUUGGCCGGAGUUUUUAGAAAUGAUCGUUUUCUGUGAUAAGACAGGGCCUCGGACAGGGGGUGUUGCAGCACCCCCAGCACUCCUACUUCCCGCGGUACUGGGUGCAACUUACAGCUGAAUGUAGUGCCAUGUUGUUAAACGAAAACCUACGCUAGCCUGGCUCGCUCUCGCGCAUCUCUGUUCGCGCUCGUGCAUAAUUGCGCGUCCAGGUACUUGGAAUGGGUGGAGUCAGAGUCAGCGUUGAAGGAGAGGGGGUAGGACCAUUUGAGUUGUGUAUUUUCAAAAUCUGCUGGCGUUUAGCAAAUCACCUACCC